rnacentral:rRNA from 1 species
UACGUAGGACCCAAGCGUUGUCCGGAUUUACUGGGUAUAAAGGGUGCGCAGGCGGUCGAGUGCGUCAGAGGUGAAAUAUCCGGGCUUAACCCGGAGGGUGCCUUUGAUACGGCUUGACUUGAGUCCGAGAGAGGGUGAUGGAAUUCCUGGUGUAGCGGUGAAAUGCGUAGAUAUCAGGAGGAACACCGGUGGCGAAGGCGGUCACCUGGCUCGGCACUGACGCUCAGGCACGAAAGCGCGGGGAUCAAAC